GACGAACGCUGGCGGCGUGCCUAAUACAUGCAAGUCGAGCGGACAUUAGGGAGCUUGCUCCCUAAUGUCAGCGGCGGACGGGUGAGUAACACGUGGGCAACCUGCCUAUAAGACUGGGAUAACUUCGGGAAACCGGAGCUAAUACCGGAUAAUCCUUUUCCUCUCAUGAGGGAAAGCUGAAAGACGGUGCAAGCUGUCACUUAUAGAUGGGCCCGCGGCGCAUUAGCUAGUUGGUGAGGUAACGGCUCACCAAGGCGACGAUGCGUAGCCGACCUGAGAGGGUGAUCGGCCACACUGGGACUGAGACACGGCCCAGACUCCUACGGGAGGCUG
rnacentral:rRNA from 1 species